CCCUUAGAUGUUCUGGGCCGCACGCGUGCUACACUGACCGGCGCAACAAGUUUCUUUCCUUGGCUCGAUAGGCCUGGGUAAUCUUUGAACGCCGGUCGUGAUGGGGAUAGAUCCUUGCAAUUUUUGAUCUUCAACGGGGAAUUCCUAGUAAAUGCGAGUCAUCAUCUCGCGUUGAUUACGUCCCUGCCCUUUGUACACACCGCCCGUCGCACCUACCGAUUGAAUGGUCCGGUGAAGCCUCGGGAUUGCGAAUGCUUCGUGCGGACGCGAGAACUUGGCUAAACCUUACCAUUUAGAGGAAGGUGAAGUCGUAACA
rnacentral:rRNA from 1 species